rnacentral:lncRNA from 1 species
AGGAAUUGAACAAAUAAGGUAUCACACAUGCAGACAUCCCACCCUAGUAAUGGAAUCAGAGGAGAUCUUAUUACAGACCGGCAUGAAGAUGUGAUCUCAGUACAUAGGCAUUUGUUGGUGGAUUAAGAGAAUCUCAGUUGUCAACAAACGUCGUCCAUUGAUCCCCUCUUCUGGCCUCUGGAGACUGUAAAGCUGAUUCUGAAAGAAAACAUGGGACGAAUGAGUGAUUUUUUUUCCAUGGAAAUAGUGUGUAAAAGUUGCAGAUAGCUGCCAGUUCCUCACUGUUUUCUUCCUCCUAUCCUCUGCCUUCCACCAUGACUUUGAACAAGCACCAUUGGGCACCUCAACAUCACUUUCUAUGUUCAGUCCUCAAGCCAGUGCAUGCAAAUUUGGCCUCUUCAUGAAAAAUGAAAGAUACUGAAGCCAUAGAUGAGGCUUUGCAGAAAAACUGUGGCCGUAUCAUGCCAGAAGGCAGGGAGAGAAAGCCUGAGAGAAAAAGGGAUGAUGUGUUUCAUCAGAAACAGAAGGUAAGGAAGCACCAAAAGGAGAAUCUUCCUUGAGAGUUCCAGAAGAA